GAUGAACGCUGGCGGCGUGCUUAACACAUGCAAGUCGAACGAAGCAUUUAAGAACGAUUCUUCGGAUGAGGACUUUUAUGACUGAGUGGCGGACGGGUGAGUAACGCGUGGGUAACCUGCCCUAUACAGGGGGAUAACAGUUAGAAAUGACUGCUAAUACCGCAUAAGCGCACGGAGCCGCAUGGCUCAGUGUGAAAAACUGAGGUGGUAUAGGAUGGACCCGCGUCUGAUUAGCUGGUUGGUGAGGUAACGGCUCACCAAGGCGACGAUCAGUAGCCGGCCUGAGAGGGCGACCGGCCACAUUGGGACUGAGACACGGCCCAA
rnacentral:rRNA from 1 species